rnacentral:rRNA from 1 species
UGGGGAAUCUUCCGCAAUGGACGAAAGUCUGACGGAGCGACGCCGCGUGAGUGAAGAAGGCCUUCGGGUCGUAAAGCUCUGUCAUCAGGGACGAACGGCCGGUGGAGUGGAAAGCCACCGGAUUGACGGUACCUGAGAAGGAAGCCACGGCUAACUACGUGCCAGCAGCUGCGGUAAUACGUAGGUGGCAAGCGUUGUCCGGAAUUAUUGGGCGUAAAGCGCGCGCAGGUGGGAUCUUAAGUCCAUUUUGAAAGUUCGGAGCUCAACUCCGUGAUGGGAUGGAAACUGGGAUUCUUGAGUACCGGAGAGGAAAGCGGAAUUCCCCGUGUAGCGGUGAAAUGCGUAGAUAUGGGGAGGAACACCAGUGGCGAAGGCGGCUUUCUGGACGGUGUCUGACACUGAGGCGCGAAAGCCAGGGGAGCGAACG